rnacentral:rRNA from 1 species
UACGGGGGGGGCAAGCGUUGUUCGGAAUUACUGGGCGUAAAGGGCUCGUAGGUGGCCAACUAAGUCAGACGUGAAAUCCCUCGGCUUAACCGGGGAACUGCGUCUGAUACUGGAUGGCUUGAGUUUGGGAGAGGGAUGCGGAAUUCCAGGUGUAGCGGUGAAAUGCGUAGAUAUCUGGAGGAACACCGGUGGCGAAGGCGGCAUUCUGGACUGUAACUGACACUGAGGAACGAAAGCCAGGGGAGCAAACGGG